UUCUUUUUGCGAAUACAGACUAACACGGCUGCUACUCUGAAACCCAUUAAGUGUUUUAUAUAUAAGUACCUGUUAAAGGGUUUCCGAAGUGGUCUUUAGUAGCCUAUCACAUACUAAUCAGACAGUUCACUCAGAGAUACUAGUCACCAUGUCAGUCUAAGUCUGAUCUAAUAGUAUUGUAUGAGAUACUAUCAUGGAUACCAUAUGGGGCUGUUGGUGUUUCAACCAUAAUAUAUACAUCAAUGGAAUGAGGCCUCAAAGGGGUGUUUCAAGUGCUCAGAUGAGGUAAUUGGAAGGGUCUGAUACAUUAUUAAGGUUUUGCGUCCUUGUCUGAUAUAAUAGUGUGGAACAAUCAACCUUGGUUAUGGGUGCAAAAAUAUUUGUUAAAAGCCAUUACAUGUCAACAUUACAAAAUAUUUUGCUCAUGUUAAGAGAAAGGAAUAGAUCUGAAUUUAGAGGAAUCAGGAGAUCUGAAUUCUAUUGUCUCAUUCUGGCGUGACACAUACUUCCUCUGUGAACUUGGCCCAGUCACUUAGCCAAAAUUUUCACACUUGGGUGCCUAAAGUGAGGCACCUAAAUCCAUAUUUAGAUCAGUCUACACCCAGUUUUGUAUAAACUGGCUGUGAAUUAAUUUAGGCUGGAAAUUCGGAGAAGGCUUCUAAUUACCUGAGGAGUGAGGUUCUGGAACAGCCUUCCAUUAGGAGUUAUGGAGGGUGAACAACCUGACUGGUUUUAAGAUGGAGCUUGGUAAAUUUAUGAAUGGGGAUUAUAUAAGGUGGUUGUCUGCAACAGUAGGGGACUGGACUCAGGAGGUCCCUUCCUGUCCUAUGUUUCUAUGUUUCAGUUAGGGCUGUGAUAAUUUUAUUAAAUUAGCUAUGCUGGCAUGGCUCCACCCUAGUGUGAAUGUAGUUAUAUGCUAUAAAAGUGUCUUAUACCACUUGGUAUAAUUCCCAUAUGGGAAGGAAAUAAGCUAAUAUAAGCACCUUUAUACAUGACAAGACUGCAUCCACAUGAGGGGUGUUGUACUGCUUUAACUAUACUGGCUUGGUUAAAAUGGUGCCACUGCGCAAGUGGGCAAGGAAUGGAUGGAACCUUGGCUCUGCCUCCCUCAAUGUGCCGGCCAGUUUAGCUGCGGUGACAUGGCUGGGACCAUAUGCUGCGUGAGAUAGGACUGAGCAGGGUACAUUUCCCCCUGGAGCAGGGGGAAAUUGGAAGGCAGCUUGUGACUCUCUAAAUCAUAAAUUGCUUCCCAGCCUAUCCCUGGAGCAGCGCAGCCCAAUACACCGGGCUUGUGGCAAAGCAAAAAUUGGCACCAUCAUAUUUUUAAGCAUGUUGAGUUUCUCUGAUGGAAGGCUCUGUGUGUGCCCAGUAUUAUUAUUGUUCCUCUGUUUCCCAUUGUCUACACCCUACUGUUCACAGUGAUAUUUUAUAUGUUACAAAUAGAAUGAGAAUACUUAGGCUCUGGGAAUGAUUAGUAACAUUUAAUUUGCAGACGCUCAAAAAUGAUUUUUUUCAUCUUUUUACAGUGCUUUAUGUAACGGGUGCCUUUGUAUUUCCUUUACUCUUCCUCACUGGCAACACUUUGCAAUCUUUGCUGGGUUUGCAGCUGCAUGGGCUUGCUCAAUGAGAGCCAUUAAAAAUGUUCUCCCCUUUGCCCUUUCCGGAUAGCCAUUCUUCACCCUCAUGCCUACUAGACUCAAACCCAUCAACUUACUGCUUCACUGCUCUUCCUAGCGCAGGCACUUUAGCUUGGCUUCGGAGAAUUCUAUAGCAAGCCUUUUGUCUGCACUGAGAUUAUUAAUAGUCAGUUUCGGUCUUUGUUUAUGUUUUGUUUUACACUAUCAUUUUUUUUCUAAAUUGCUGAGUUGUUCCGGAAAGUAGUAAUUCUAAAUAUUGGGAAGGGUUUGAAGUCCUAAAUCUGGACACUUAAAAUAAAUAAAGUGAAAUUGAAGGGGAAGAAAAAAAAUUGCUCCUUUUGUUGCUAUCUUGGGUUUUGCAGCACAAGAGCAGCAUAAUUUUUUGUAUCUCAUUUUUAUGUGUGUGACUUCUUUGUUGUGGUUAGAUCACUGCUGCAGCAUCCCAUGACAGUAGCAUCUAAUAAAAUUACUGAACACUCGAUUACCAAUCUUAAAUCAAAAUGAUAUGUGAAGUUUAGGUUAAUUCCCGAGUUUAAUUCUUCUGCUAUGGAAAAGACAAUUUUGAGAGUUCAUUUCUGAUGGAAAUACAUUUUUUCAUUCUUUUGUAAGUACCAUGCAAUAUAUCUGGUAGGAUGUUUGUCCCAGGAAUCUUCGUUCUGUAUGAUGUGCCUGCAAGAAAACACUUUAGAUUUGCAAAGUUAAGGCAAUCGUAAAUUCAACACAGAGAUAUUUUAAUUCUCAUGUUAAAUCAUAGAGUAGUUUGUUUUUUUUAUCAUGAGGGAGGGAAAUAUAUGUCUGGUUCUUUGUCUUCUGCAUUUUGUGACAAAGGCAGCAUUCCCAGUUGAAUUGCUCUGCUCUAUUCAAGCCCCCUCUGAGCCUCUGGUUAACAGCAGUCAGUCUUUGCAGUGUCCUGACGUCAUCCAGUGUAUGCAUAAGCUAUGCUAUUGUCUUACUGAGACCAGGGGCUGUGGAUUGCAGUAUCUGGUGUCUGCUACCUAUUUCUGCCUCACUGCAUGACAGAAGGGACACUGACCUUCCCUUACCUCUUGGAUUUAAAACAGCAACUCCUGAUUUUUGCUUCCUGAAGAAGACCUUUGCUUUGGUUGCAAGGAAAAGCUGUCUGCAGUGUGAAGCUUAGGAGAAGAGAAUCUGGCAGCUUGACUUGGACUGCAUUGUCUGGCUUCAUGACCCCUGCUGUGUAGCAGUCUCAUCCUACUCUCACACGCUCCCUCUAUCUCUCAUUCUUUUCCCUUCUUUAAAUAGCAGCAUCUGGGGCCAGCCAUGUUUGGCACUGAAUCUUCAUUGAGUCUGUUUUUGAA